AUGGGCAUCUCCCUGUUGAUAAACAGCUCUGCCUUUAUUGUGUUCAUGGAGUGAUAAGUUGUCUGGAUCAACAACUAGUUGUCCAUUUUACUUCUUUGCAGCCAAAGUUAUUAGGGUCAAAUUAGGUGUGAGCUGUGAAAUUAAUCAUUACAAGCACAAGCAACAUAGUGUGCUGUGGGCAAAGGAAAAAAAAUAGUUUAGAAGUGGAAAAUAUUGAGAAGCAUGAAGAACCAAAGCAGUCAGGAAAAGGGGAGGAAAAGAACAGCUGGCAAUGCUGUACAAGGUUGUUUAUCUAAGCCUAUGGGCUGUGCUGAAUUUGUUCUCCUGCACCUGUGGACCAUGAAAUCACAGAACAAGGUAGAUCUUUAAUUCCACCUAGUUUGCCCAGAUACAACAAAGAGAGUCUCAGUUAAUCCAUACGCAGUGCCUCAUAGGGAGAGGAAUAUACCUGCCUUUUAUUUACAUAAAGGCACUAUUUCUGGAGCAUGAAUUAGUUGAUAGUAUUCAUUGCACAUCUUCAAUGUGGCCCCACUGGAAGCAUUUCAUGGGACUUGUAAUAAUUAUUCAUUUCAGGAGGAUCUGCAGCUAUUGCUACUGAUACAGACUGAGUUGUGCCCAGCCUGCAUCUGACAAGUGGGCAACACACAUAGUUUAGUUAGAUACACAUUUGUUUAUGAAUACUACCCCAAAAUAAUCAAAUUAUUUUCUGAAUAUUUAAUUUUAAAAAGUGAGCUAUUUUCUUUUUUUCUUUUUUUUUCUUUUUUUUUUUUUUAGGGACUGGGUUUAUGAAGAUAGAAGCUGAAUCGCUAAUCUGAGUUACAUGGAUCUAGUUCUCACUGGAAGUAAAGUCCAACAAAUCUAAGUUAUUAGGUGGAAUUUCUAAGAUGAGAAUCCAGUCCAUCAUUCUGAGGCAGCAUUUGACAAUUGGCAUAUAACCUAUACCUAGGAAUUGUGUCCUAUGAAUCAUGCUUUUUCCUUAGCAAUUGCUCCUCCCUGUAGAGCAGGAAUCAUGGUACUGGCUGGCAACAAGAGAUUAUGUGGAAAUCUGUUAACCAAGCUUGGAAGGAGCAUGCAGUUCAAAGGUCAAAUGUAUGAAAGCAAAGCCUGCUUGAUAUACCAAGAGCUCUUUGUAAAUUUGAUUCUAACUGAGAAGCUAUAGAGCUGUGAAGGGGCGAAGGGCAGAGGAGAUAGUGCAGCACCCGCUGAAACGCUUCCAUUUUGUUUUCUGAGGUGAGAAGCCUGAACUUUGUUCCUAAAAUAUAAGCUGAAGGUGUGCUGGAUUUGCUUGGAAAUGCUGCAAAGCUAUUCUCAUUUCCUGUAGCUGUUGUAAGAUUGGCCUUUUUCCAUAGCUAAGUCUUGGUUCUUAGCAAGCCAGAAUGAAAUGGCAGAAGAAAUUCCCUCUCUCUUUCAUCUUACGCUAUAUCUAGCAAGGCAAGAAUCAAGACUUUGAACCAUUAAUUCCUAAGUCUGUGGCUUGAUUUCCUACAGCAGAAACUGUUUUAAAGGUUUUGUCUUCUCUUACCAAAGCUAAUUGUUAAUUGCCUCUUCUUUUCUUUAGCUACUGCCACAAGGAAAGACUGCCUUCUGUGCUGAUGACAGAUCUGCCCUUCUGUUAUCAGACACUGCUCUUUUGCUAUCUCAGUUUCAUAACAAUUACCUCUGCCUGAGAGCUAUGGAUCAGCCACAUUGGGCAAAGCAGUCCUCUGAGAAAGAGAAUGAUGGAUGACAGAGUGAUUCCCUUCAACAUGACUGGGGCACUGAGGCUCCUGCUCAGCUCUGGAUAUGCUAGAGAACCCCCAUUGCUCCUUUUCACUGUAACUUCAGCUGCUGCACUGGAGCUAACAAAACUAUUCAAAGAAAAGCAUUCCAAGGAACCAUCUGAGAAGGUUCUUCAGCAUUGCUGAUGGGUCUUUCACUAAAUGGCCCUGGGACCUCCUGGCCCUUUAUCCAAGCUGCCUGGGCCCCGGCCUGCGUGUAAAUAUGUCAGAGCACCAAUGAGACGGAACACGGACACAGAAAUGCUGGCGGCUGCUCCCAGAUAAAACGCUGAGCUGAAGCCGAGGCGUUUAUUGUAAAUAAAGAUCAAGGCAAAGCAGCAAUGUUUCGGUUCGACUUCAGCCUGCCAAGGUUACUAGUCCAACUCCUUUCACGACUACCAUAUGUCCACAUACAUUUCCCCCUCCAGAAAGUGACAUGUUACUCUUAUGACAGCUCUGUAGCCAUUGCAAGUUCCUCGAUACUUUCCAUGUGUUGUUUUGCAAUAAUCUGGAAACGCUGUUGGCAGAUGAGCCAGUGGGUGCGUGUGUAUGCAUGCACGGGAGAGAGACUGCCAGCCAUUCAAGUCUAAUACUGCUGUACCUUAACAGUAACUUUGCAGGGCCUGAGAAACAUUAAUGCUUUUUUUGGUUCUUUUCAGUAGAGGGCACUGGAUCCUGUGAACAGGAAUUGGUACAGUGCAGCUCAAAGGGUCUAACAGCUUUAGCAGAUGGACUGAUUUUUUUUCCCUCUGGAUACUGGCGAUGUGGAAGAGAAGUCUGGCUUCGUCUGCUGUACGCCCACUGACAGACAUCCAAUGGUUAAUGGGAUAUAUGGACGGGAGACUUGAGCUUACUCCCUUGGAACCAUGACAGUUUGAGGUGUUGCCUGGCUCAGCCCUUGGAUGGGAAAGGAAAGAAUAACUUGAACAUCUCUCCAGUCAUUUCCUGAUAUUUUCAGUUAGAGAACAGAUGUGAUUCACUCCAGAAGGGACUGCUGAGUGCUCCCAUGUGUCUGAUCUACUAAGCAAGCAACCUUGGGAAGAUACAGUGUGGCUGUGUGCAUUGAUGAUCAGAAGAUUUGCCAUAGGAAUCCAGAAACACUGCCUUCCAGAGAACCGACUGUUGGCAUGGAAAACAAACACCAGAGAAACCCUGGAAUUCCGAGAUGUAGUUGACUUUCUGAAUGCAGGCAAGUUGCAAUUAAAAAACAGUUAUUUGGGGAGAGCAAUGCAUUCAAAAUACAGUUCUUUGGAGAGGGCUGGCAGGCACAUCACAAGUGAAAUAAAUUAGUAAUGUGAGGAGAUAGUUAUGCUUGAGGAUUAACGAAUUUUGGACAGCUGUAGGAGCCAACCCACUGGGCUCUGUGCAUUGCCUCACUGUAACUAUUUAUGCUGCUCCUCUGGAUACCGGGGCAUCACAGAGCCAGGCAUCUGAAGCACAGCUUUUCCCUACAAAUGCAACCAAACCAGCUGCUGCAUUUUGCAGAGAUCCUGACACUAUAGUGCUGAGCUGCUCUCCAUUCCACUUGGUGAAAUCCGCUCACCUCAGUCUGCGUGUUAGGGGUAUGGCCGGUCAGUCAGGCUUUGCUAGUAUGGGGCCGAGCAAGGAGAAAUAUCCUUAGUAGAGAUAUUUAUUGCAAAGCUGCUGAAAGGCUCACAGUAGACAGCCUACACAACGAAACCAUCUCCUUCAAUUAGUCCAUGGUCAUCAAUGAGGUAAAUGUCUCUGCCUUCUGACCCAGACAGGGUGGAGUUUUAAUAACAGACAUAAAUCUGUUGUGCUUCUCUCCUCAUGACCUAACGUAUGCUGUCAGGGCAAUGCAUGCCUCAGAGAAGGAGUAGAAUUUAUGUGUACAAUAAAACAAUAGAGCUUCAGUGCUAUCAGCUGUUUGAUGAACUUUAAUAUGCAUUUGCUAUAAAAAAGGCAGCGAGUACCAGAAUGCGAUACCCAAAUAAGAACCCUUGAUCCAUUUGCAUGACAGAUCUUCAAUUUACUCACAUUCAUGUCAGAGACACACAUAAAAGUUAUAUCCACGCUAAAAUUCACUUAGAAGCAGCCUGAAAUACCCCCCAGUUGCAAGUGAUACUGCAGUACUUAGCUAAUACUCAUGUUUCCGUGGCUUUGCCUUCACGAUUCUUCCAGUGGUUCCUUUAUGUUUUCUGGUAUUUUGCCAAACACCUGUGAAUCGGAGCACAACAAAUAUUCUUGCCAUUUAAUUUAGGCUUGCACAGAAAGGCUAUAGUAGGCCGGCUGCAGACCUAAUCCCAAACCUCUAAAGAGGUUUAAGGCACUCUGGUUUCACCUAAUCCCG
ensembl:lncRNA